rnacentral:rRNA from 1 species
GUGUGAAUUGCAGAAUCUCGUGAAUCAUCGAUUCUUUGAACCCAAGUUGUGCCCGAAGCCCUCGUGGCCAGGGCACGUCUGUCUGGGCAUCAUGC